UAUAUAUAUAUAUAUAUAUAUAUAUAUAUAUAUAUAUAUAAAUAAUUUAUUAAUUUUAAAUCUAAUUUUUUAUUAAUCUUAUUUUUUUCUUUCCUCCUACUUUCUUUUAUUUUCUUUCUCCCACCUUUUUCCUAACCAAACAUAAUCUAUCUUCUCUCUUUUUCCUUCCUUAUACUCUCUGAAACCAAACAUAAUCUUAAAGUCAGGCAUCUCCCGCGAUAGUCAAACUAAUGCACUAAUGCUUUAACUAAAUUUCUAAAGUUUUGGUAAACAGCCAACCACCACUGCACACGGAAUUUCGCUUAAAUCAUACUGUUUUCAGACUCAAACCUCUGUGAUUUCAAACAAUAGUUCCAACUUCCAAUGGGAAAAUACUUCACGUCAGAAUCCACGAAAAAACGGGGAGUGAGGUAGAAUAAGAUUGAUACUUGCUGGAGUUUCUUUGAUGGGGGAUAAUGGCCUUUGACUAUUGGGAAGAUGAUGAUGUAGUGGUGGGCUGGAAGGAUCACGAUGGAAUUUUCUACUCUUUUCAAGCUCCACGAUCUGUCUGUAAUCGGCCUCUACUCCUAAUCCAUUAUCAACUCUUUUUUUUAUACAACUUGCGUCGUGUUUUUUGGGUUGUUUGGAAAAGUGGUUCCAAAUCCAUUGGAGCGUAGGAUUUGAAACCUGAAAGCGAUUGUGUAAGUGGAUAGGAUUAAAGAGAGAUGAUGAAUGGAAUGAACACUUGAACGAGUCUUCAAGUGUUUUUGGUCAGCCAAGGGCAUUUAAAGAUCAGUCCUACCUCAUGAAUCUUUUUCACCCCUUGAUUUGUGUCUAUCUGCGAUGAUUGAGAAUUUAAACUUGAGGGAAAAAAAAAUUAAUAAUUAAAAUCAAUAAAUUAUUUUAUAUACUUUUUAAAAAAUAUUUCACUUAUUUUACUUUAUGAUUAAAUAAUUUUUUAAUACAUAAAUUUUUAACUAAUUUUAAUUAUAUAUACAUAAUUUUUUAAUAUAAAACCAAAUAUGUAAAUACUAUUUUCUUUAACAUUUGUUUUUUCUUUUCAUAACAUUUGUCAUAAACCGCACAUAGCCUCAAGGUAUGAGGUUGUUCAAGAUCAAGAAUGAAAAUAUCGAUAAUCAUAUAUCGAUACUUCGAUUUCGAAUAUAUAUGAACGAAUAUUUUAACAAAAAUAUUGAUGGAUCUAAAAUUGAUAAAAAAAAAUCAUGGAAAUGUAAAAAAAAAAAAACAUAUAUAUAUAAAACCUCUUAAAAAUAAAAUUAGAAGUAUAAUAAACAUUUUAAAAUUGUUAUAUAUAUAUUAUAAUUUAUCAUAUUUGAUAGUAAUAUCGUGCACAUCUAUAAAAAAAAACAUGAAUUUUAUAGAUGUACUUAUUAUUAGAUUACAUCAAAUAUAUAUUCCACAAUAAUAUUGUGAUAUUUGAUUAUAAUAUAUCUAAUUUUAUAAUAUAUUUAUUAUAAAAAUUAUGAUUUAUUUAAUUUAACUGUAUUAAAUGAUAUAAAAUAACAGAUGAUAUAUGUAAAUAUUUUUUAACAUUUAAUUAAUAUAUUAAUAAUAUUAAAAACACUAUAAUGAAAAUUAUCGUGACAAUGUUUAGGGAAUUUGUGUUGGGUUAGGUUCGGUGUGAUCCCGCCCCCGAAAUAUUGAGAAAUAUUGGCGAUUUGAAAAAUCACCUUUUCAUGCCUCCCGAUAUAUCACAUAUCGGGGAUAUAUCAUGAUAUUUACCGAAAUUUUCGUCCUUAUUCAAGACAACCAUGAUUUUGGGGGCGACAGAUGAAGAUGUGUGACAUGCCCCAAACUUACGCGUUAGGUCAAAGUUUGUGUUAGGCCUCGUGCCAAACAUAUUGACUUUGGGUUGGCCAAAACUUGGCCCAACCCACCAAAUACUGUGGAUGUAAAGCCCGUAACCAACAACCCCAUGUUGAAAGUUGAAACCCAACAUUUCUAGAGAGAGAUUUUGACAAAGAGUGCAGGCAUUCAAUAUGUUGACCCUUAAACACCUGUUGAAGAGGUUUCCAAGCCAGCUAACCAAGUAAUCAAUCUCCGACUGGGUUUGGACUCAUUGGAAUGCUACUCCUUAACCAAAGCCUCAUCCUAAGUAAACUAAAAGUAAAAGUCCGUCUGGGAGAGUGAUUUGAAAAGAAGCUAAAAGCAUAAUGCUUGAUACCUCUUUCUUACAAAAUACAAUCAAUUAAUAAGUUAUUCUUCCAAAACUAAAGCUAUCCAAACAAAAGUGAUACUAAUAAAAUUCUACACAUAAAAUUACUUUAACCACAAUCACUCCCAAACAAGCUCGUUUAUCAAUCCGGAACAGCAAACAAGUUAUUUUCAGAUAACAUAUUUUAAUUAUUUUCACUUAUAUUUACUUGUUUUAGGAGGACUGUUUAGAAAAAUAAUUAUUCAAAUACAAAGAAUAAUUUAAAAAUAAAAUAAAGUUUUACAUAUAAAAGUUAUUUUUUAAAGCAUAUUUGAAAACAUAGAAAACAUGUUAAAAAUAUUUCAACUUCCCAAACAUACUUUUAUUCUAUAAAAUAUCAAAAACCAAUUUUCAAAAACUGUUUUUUAAAAUAAUUAUUUUUUAAAUCAACUCUCAAUAUACAAGUGAAUACGGUUAAAAGGUUUUAUCUAAAAAUACUUUGAUUUUAAGAACAAAAAAUUAUUUUUUAUUUUUUGGUUAUUAAAUGUGUUUUCCUAUUUUUUUUGUUUUGGAAACAUAAAACUAUCCAUAAAAAAUAAAAAAAUAAAAAAUAAAAAAUAGUUGCUAAAUAGGAACUUAGAUUCUAAUGCACCUCUGCCCAAGUUCAACCAAAAAAAUAUAGGUGUUGGAUAAAACUUUCAAAAACACUUAUAAAAAAAUCAGUUUUUAAAAACCGUUAGUAAAAAUCAUUUUUAUUUAUUUUCAAGAAUAAGAAUGUGUUUGACAAUGAUUUUAAGAAACGUUUCUAAUAUUAGAAACGCUUCUUAGAAUCACUACCAAACAGGCUCUAAAAUUAUAUAUGAUAGUGAUUUUAAAAAGUGUUACUAAUAUUUCUAAUACUUGAAAAAAUUUGAAGCACUUCAUAGAAUGACUGUCAAACAGACUUUGAAAUUAGGUUUGAAAAAUACUAUACAAUUGUACGAUGUAAAAGUUGUUUGCCUAUUUUUCAUGUUACCAAUUGUUUCUCAAAAUUUUCUACACAAAAUGGAUAAAAAUAAAUAACUGAACAACUGAAAGCACCUUGAAUUCGUUCUAAAAAGCCAUCCCUGUUAUCAGAGCAGAUUUUCAAAAUAACCGUUUUCAAUCCAAAAUUUGUCAAUUGUGUUUUUGAAAUUAGAAAACUGUUUUAUAUUCUAAAGAAAGGAACACAGUUUUUAAGAACAGUUCCAAAUCACCCAUAUUCUCAUAUUUCUCUUUUAUCAAUUGUAUGUCAUCAAAUUUGACUAAAGGAAUGCAACCCUAAAAGAAUGCCUAUUUGGUUAGAAGACACAUACAAAAUUUCAAUGAUAGGCUCUCAAAAUAAAAAAUAAGCACCAAACUCAAGUAAGCAAUACUAAAAUUAAUGAAAGGUCUACAGCAUAAAUUGUAAGAGAGAAAUCAUACCUUACAUCCUCUUCCAACAUUCUAGCAAUCUGUCAUCCUUCCUCAAGCUGAUCUCAGUCCAAAAAUUCACCAAUCUUCAAGGCCUCAAACCAGCCACAACCCUAAAAGAAUGCCUAUUUGGUUAGAACAUACAAAAUUUCAAUGAUAGGCUCUCAAAAUAAAAAAUAAGCACCAAACUCAAGAAAGCAAUACUAAAAUUAAUGGAAAGCCUAUAGCAUAAAUUGUAGGAGAGAAAUCAUACCUUACAUUCUCUUCCAACAUUCUAGCAAUCUAUCAUCCUUCCUCAAGCUGAUCUCAGUCCAAAAAUUCACCAAUCUUCAAGGAUCAAACCAGCCACAAAUUCAUUAUUUCCAACUCCUUAAGCCAAGAAAUGGCAAGCUCUACCUCAUCCCAAGGAGUCCCACAAUGCUAUACUAAUGGGGUUUUGCCAAAUUUCUAUAUUUAAGAUUCUAUCAAAGGGAUGGAGCUGUUCAAACUGCAUAUCCAGUCAUCCAAUAUCGAUAAGUCUGGUUGUUUUCUUUUCUAUUUUGAUGCUAAUUUCAGAAGAAAACUUCAUGAAAGAUGCCAAAAACUUCAACACCUCUGAGUUUAAGAGACCAACAAGCCCUAGUUCAUCAAUUCUUCAAGCAUAAAACCAGCUUUGAAACCAUUCUCAUGAACUGAUUCUUGUACCAGACAACCCAAAUGCCAAAUCCAUGUCUUCCUCAACAUUCUUUCAACCCAAAUUUUAAUAGUUUGAACCCAUUGCAAAAUUACAUAUGCCCCACUUCUCAAUACUUCAGACCUUGACCCAUUGCCAUUGAUCCCAUUGGAAGAAUUCUCAGCAUUCAAAGUAUUAGUAUUACAGCCUACCAAAUCACUUCCUCUAUGAUUUGUCACCCCAACCAUACAUUUCCAAGAAUCCCACUUAAA
rnacentral:lncRNA from 1 species